CCGGCUCCGUCCCCGCCGACCCGACGCCUCGCCCUCACUCGCCGGUCGCUCAGUCUCAGUCGCGGCUCCUCUAAGCCAAGAUGGGAGAAAUUGGAUAUAGAACAGACUUGUUUCUGUGCACUUCUGAGAAUGUAUUCUGGGAGCUAGAGAGUUCGAAAUCUUGACAGGAUGUAAGAUGAGGACUUUAUUCAAAUUGGAUGGGUGAAUCCUUUUGGAGACGGAGUGCAAAGUCCAAAUUGUAGAACUGGACCAUGCAGGAUAAAAGUAAAGGACCACCCUACUUUAAGUAGGCCUGAAGUGAACAGAUCAUGGAGAGGAGAAAGCUCAAACUUGCAUGAGAUGUUGGAGGGAUCAUCUUGAGCUCUUCUGAACUAGACUUCAAAUGCAGUUUUGAAAAAAUAAAGCUAUUGAUAACCUU